rfam:TPA: Bos taurus chromosome 18, whole genome shotgun sequence.
CCCAGGGUAGCUCAAAAGGUAAAGAAUUUGCCUGCAAUGCAAGAGACCUGGGUUAGAUCCCUGGCUUGGGA